rnacentral:rRNA from 1 species
CCUCGGGCGGCAGCAGUGGGGAAUAUUGGACAAUGGGCGAAAGCCUGAUCCAGCCAUGCCGCGUGUGUGAAGAAGGCCUUCGGGUUGUAAAGCACUUUCAGUGGGGAAGAAAGCCUUGGGGCUAAUACCCUCGAGGAAGGACAUCACCCACAGAAGAAGCACCGGCUAACUCCGUGCCAGCAGCCGCGGUAAUACGGAGGGUGCGAGCGUUAAUCGGAAUUACUGGGCGUAAAGCGCGCGUAGGCGGUCUGAUAAGCCGGUUGUGAAAGCCCCGGGCUCAACCUGGGAACGGCAUCCGGAACUGUCAGGCUAGAGUGCAGGAGAGGAAGGUAGAAUUCCCGGUGUAGCGGUGAAAUGCGUAGAGAUCGGGAGGAAUACCAGUGGCGAAGGCGGCCUUCUGGACUGACACUGACGCUGAGGUGCGAAAGCGUGGGUAGCAAACAGGAUUAGAUACCCGGUAGUC